GGGGAAGGGGAAGGGGGGAGCAGCAGCCACAAGGGACAGGAGGAGGGGACAGCCACCACCACACCCUGGGGAGGAACCCCUGGGGCUGAGGCUGAGGCUCGUGUCCCUUUGCAGCACAGAUUCUUCACCUGCGAGGAGAGGAGCAGGAGCAUGAAGCACAUCAAGGACACCUUCGCCAGGAUGAACACGAACGGAAUCUACAAGGCCAUGGGAGAGUUUGACAUCUUCAUCAACUACAUCGAGAAAUAUUUAACAAUGAGGAGAAGGAAAUGAGAGCAUCCCUGGGUCUGCAUUUUCCACACCAAAUCCUGCUACUUGUUUAAAAAUCACUUUAGUCUGCAAGGGUCAAAUUAAGUUAUCUCAAGGUUCAGGUCAAGAGUUACAGGUUAAUAACUUCCAGCUUAAUAUUGUAUUUAAGAGUUAUUUUUUUAAUAGUUGAAUUUAUUAUUUAUUACUUCUAAUACCUCAGUGUUGAUGUUUACAGUAUGUUUGGAAGAAAGGAGUGAUGAGCUUGUAAAUUAUUAUUUAUUGUUCAAUAUUUUAAUAUUGUUUAUCAUAGUGUUAUUUUAUGCAUAGCUUCAAAACACCCAAAGCAGCGUUUUUCUGGAGGGCAGACAAUGAGCUGAGCUUAUCCCCAGUGAAUUCCACUCCUCAUUAGGAGCAAGGCCAGCUCUGACUUCAACAAAAUUUAAUUUUAGGCAAAUGACCCUCUCCUCAUAUCCUAUAUCUCUAUUUAUUUAUGCAAUCAGUGGUUUUGUGUUUAGGAGGAGAAAAAAACCACAGCAACAGCUUGGUUGACUCCAAUUUAGACUUCAGCCUGUAGAUUAGUCCAGGCUAAAUUUUAAAAAAUUAGUAAUAGGAAUGAAAUGUUUGGUUCUAAUAGAACUUAAAUAUUGCUCAGUAUCUGCCUACCAGAGCUGCUGGGUCAGCCACUCUGCACUUUCCAAAGUUAACCUUAUUAUUUCCCAGUCUCUGAUUGGGUUUUACUCUCUGUUUUACUGCUUUUGGUUUUCUUUUAGGAGUUAGAGGAUAUUUAAUUAACCACCAUUUUAAGGUGGCUCGGGUAAUUUGCAUUCAAAUCCACGGGGCUGCUCCCAGCACUGCCGAUGGUGGGGUUGGAUUUUUAAUCCCCACGAGCAGCAGGAGCAGCUUCUGUGCCCUAAAAGUGGAUGAUUUUAGGGCUCAGCUUCCUCCUCACCCCGGCGGACACUGAGCCAGAGGAAAACGCCACAACCCCAAGAGAGGCUUUUACUUCUAAUAUUUAGAAGUGGAAGGGCCCCCAUCUGAUGAAACACUGCCAGUUUGGUGUUUGCUGUGCAAGUUCCAGCUGAGGGGAGGUUAUUUAUACAGGAUUUAUUCUUUGUGGACAUUUCUGGUGGCAGCCUGCCCGCACGGGAAUUGGAUAUUCCGGAGCAGGGCAGGAAUGCUGCUCCAUGGGUCGCUCCUCCUGCUGAAAGUUCAGGCUCAAGGGCAGCCAAAGACUGUAAAACUUAAAUUAAUCUUCUUACCAGGGCAUGUUAAACUCUCAUUGAGCCAAUUCUGUGCUUGAUUUUCCCUCCAAACACCUUCGAUGUUGUGGGAGAAGCAAGGAGAGCCCUGGAGCCAAGGACAACAUCAGCACGGCUCCUGCCACUGGGUGAAAUUUCUCCUAUUUAUCUGUGUGAAAAGAAAUCCUUUAUUUUUGCUAAUAAAGACUCCCUAAUGAA